rnacentral:tRNA from 1 species
GGGAAAUUGGCUUAGUGGUAGAGUGCUUGCCUCAUAUGCAUGAGGCCCUGAGUUCGAUUCCUCAGUACCA